GGAAACCAAUGCGGGGCAACCCGGUAAAAGGUGAUUCAUAAUAACUUUCGGAUCGGUCUUCGGAUCGAUGCUUCAUUCAAGUUUCUGCCCUAUCAGCUUUGGAUGGUAGGGUAUUGGCCUACCAUGGCUUUAACGGGUAACGGAGAAUUAGGGUUCGAUUCCGGAGAGGGAGCCUGAGAAAUGGCUACCACAUCCAAGGAAGGCAUCAGGCGCGUAAUUACCCAAUCCUGACACAGGGAGGUAGUGACAAUAAAUAACAGUGCCGGGCUUUUCUAAGUCUGGCAAUUGGAAUGAGAACAAUUUAAAUCCCUUAUCGAGGAUCAAUUGGAGGGCAAGUCUGGUGCCAGCAGCCGCGGUAAUUCCAGCUCCAAUAGCGUAUAUUAAAGUUGUUGCAGUUAAAAAGCUCGUAGUUGGAUUUCUGGUCGGAGCGGUCGGUCCGCCCUUCACGGGGUGUGUACCAUGUCCAGCUUCGGCCAUCCUCGAGGAGAGCGUAGCUGGCAUUAAGUUGUCGGUUGCGGGAUCCUCGUCAUUUACUGUGAGCAAAAUAG
rnacentral:rRNA from 1 species